AAAGUAUUGACACAAUUAACUUUUCUAGUCAAAAAAUUGAUUUUAUAUUAAUACAAUAUAAUUGAAAUUAAUAGAAUAAAUGAUUUUGAUAUGUUUUAUAUAGUUAUCUAAUAGAUGUAAUUUGAUUUUGUUAUGUUUUUGUAUAUACAUUAGAAGAAAAAGAGGCAAAUGUAUUGUGUAGAUCAAAUGACAAUAGCUUUUAAAAUGCAUCUUUUUAAUAAAUUGGUUGACCUGCUUUAAAGUUUAAACCCCCACUGGAUUGACUGGUUACCAGCUUAGAAAAAAAAAUGUUUUAUGUCUUAAUCAACUGACCACUAGUCCAGUUUCCGAUUAAAUUGAUCGGUCUGAUUCGAUUCUAAAAACUAUAGGUACAUUUUAAUUGCAACCACAUCACAGACAAAUCUGUGGAAGCUAUUGAUUUUGAUGUUAUUUGUUCAACUCUAAUCGUCUGGGAGUUGAACUUAUGAUAAAAUUGAACUGUUUACAUUAACUGAUAUCUGUGUCAAUCAUCUUCUAACUCACUUGAUGUAUUAUUGCUGAAACAGGGGCUAUGAUAGCUUGCAAGUUAGCAGCAAUGGUGCCUGACAGGGUUCUAUCUUUGGCAUUACUUAAUGUUACUGGUGGAGGUUUUGAAUGUUUUCCAAAGGUAUACAUCCUUUUUGUCACUGAACAGCUGAGCAAGCUUCUUUUAUUUCUGAAUUGCAGAACAUGGGCAUUAGUUUUCUCUGCAACUCUUAUUUUUUCUUUUUUUCUGUUUGAAAAUUCUUUUUUUGAAGUGGAUUACGUUAUUUAUAUAUCAGCUUGAAACAGCUUAUCAUAUGCAUUUGAGCAUUUCCCAAGUUCCUUGUAUUAUCUGAUUGUGAAGUUGGAGAAAGCUUUUGAAAGGCUUAGCUGGAAAUUGAUUCUACCUGAUUAUAUAUAUAUUUUUUUCUAUUUCACUGAAUCUAAGAAAUUUUAUUUAUUCAUUUCCGUCAUACCUACUCCAUUCUUAGGUGAUGAACAUAUUAUACUCUCUAGAGUUUAUUUGAUGGAUUUAUCUUCUGUUGUUCUUGACUUUGGGAACUCCUGAAAUGCAAUGCACAUUAAUUGCACAUCAUUUGGAGUGUUAGUCUCUUAUUGUUGUGUAGCCAUGAGUUGGCUUUGCUGUGAUUGAAUAUAUUUGUAUGUAGGACCUAAACCAAAAUUAGUAAUUGAUUGUGUGAAUAUCCUAGUACCGAUAGAUUGCUGAUUCCGAACAUUGCUUGGUAUGUCCAUCCUUGCAACUCGUUGCUUCUAUAGAUUUGUUUCAUUUAUUGAGCCCUGAGACUUCUUGUCUGACUUGUUACUCAUAUAACUUGUCUGACUUGUUACUCAUAUAACACAAGUAGACUCACAGCUGGAUAAUCUGGCAAAGAAAAUCUGUAUUGUUUAACUUCUAUAGCAAUUGCGUGAUUUUGAAUCCUCAAAAGAAUUUUGCUAGCACGAAAGGAGCUUCUUUGUGAGGAACAGUCUUUAGAGUAUCUUUAUUAUUUUUUUUUUUCCUGAAAAUUCUUCAUUUACGCUUAUGACUGGGAAGCUUAUGAUUUGACGAAUAUGACAGCAUAGAAUUGUAUAUAUUUUUCCCCUUUUAGCCUCAUCUGAUAUUUUUAUCACGUUUCUCAUUUUUGUGCAAAAUUUUGAAUUAGAAGCCAAAAGUAUCAAGUCUGAAAGCCGAAUAUUUUUACACUACAUGUUGUUAAGCACCUAUUAAUCACACAAAUAUCAAUUAAAAUAAUUGUCAAACCUGUGCAUGAUGAAGUACCUUGUGAUAUGUGACAAGGGCAUGUUUAUUGUGAAUUGGUUGAAAUUUGGGUUAGGUCUGAAACUGCCCUCAGCAUAACUCAAGCGGUUUACCCUAAGUCAAUCUAGUUAGUAGUGGACUCAUGAGAUGUGUAUUCAAAACGUUAAUAAAUUAAGUUGGGAAACUAACAGAAAAAUAUUUCAAAGCUACUCCAGCAAUCAAUUAUGACCAUGUCAAUGUUUGAAUUUGAAUAAGUCAGCAUAGGAUCCUAACCUAUUCAACCUGCAUGUAGUCAAAGAAUGUGAUCCAUACUUGUUGCCUCAUUAAUGUAGAUUACAUGGCUACUUAUGUAUGGUCAUGUUGCUUACUUGCUUAGGGCAAAAUUUUACUAAUUUUUGUGUUUUGCUUGUGUGCUAAACACAAGAAUUGCUAUAGUGCUUGGGGGGCUGCUGGGGGGCUGCAGCGUAGCAGGUUGGUCCCUAUUGGGACUGUGCGCUGCCUGAUGUUUAGCUUGAGACUGGUUGGAAUUUGCUUGGGUUGAAAAAUUUUAAGUGCACCUUGGUGUGAUAUGGCUUGAAUAUUUAGGCAUCCCAAUGCUGAGACAAAUCCAGCAUAUUUCAGUUGGGUAUUUGCAGUAUGUAAAUAUAACAAUCUUGAAAAGAGGUGUUGGAUUAGAUGUAUCCAGAAACAACUUAAAAUUGGAAUUUUGGCGAUUGAUUGUAAAUAUUAGGGCCCUUGUCCUUAGGUUUGAACAUAUUCCUUUUUGCCAUCUAGCAUUUUGGCUUAUAUGUCAUAAGCAAAUUCUUUUACCCUUUAAAUACUGUCAUAAAUGAUAAUUAAUUUUGUUUGAAAGCAUAACAAAUUUGAAUAACAGAACUAUAUGGUUUUGUUAAUGCCCAUGGUUUGGAAUUCUUAGGUUAUGGUUAUUAUCUUGAAAUGCUUAUUAUCAGUAUGGUAAGUUUAUCUGUUUAUGGUUUCUUCAUGGCAAGGUCUUCUUUCAAGGAUAUGGAUUUUGUAGCUUUUAAAGUGUAAGUUGCUUGAUAUGGUACAGGACAGAUUGCAAUUUUAAGAAUCUUGAAUCUCUUAAAUUAGAACUGCUUCACAAAUCGAAAUGCGGAGUUUUAUUUCAGCCUUUAUCCCAAUAGGCAUAAAUGGAUUGCUAUUUCUAAUUUCUUCGUUAAACUAUGUCAUUCAUUUCUUGCAGCUUGAUCGCCAAACAGUGUCAAUUGCAAUCCGUUUCUUAAAGGCAAAGACUCCUGAGCAAAGGGCAGCAGUUGACUUAGAUACCCAUUACACAAAGGAAUUUCUUGAGGAAUAUGUUGGGUGUAAGACGAGAAGAGCAAUUUUAUAUCAA
rnacentral:misc_RNA from 1 species